UGGGGAAUAUUGCACAAUGGGCGAAAGCCUGAUGCAGCGACGCCGCGUGAGGGAUGACGGCCUUCGGGUUGUAAACCUCUUUCAGUAGGGACGAAGCGCAAGUGACGGUACCUGCAGAAGAAGCACCGGCUAACUACGUGCCAGCAGCCGCGGUACUACGUAGGGUGCGAGCGUUGUCCGGAAUUACUGGGCGUAAAGAGCUCGUAGGCGGUUUGUCACGUCGUCUGUGAAAUCCUAGGGCUUAACCCUGGACGUGCAGGCGAUACGGGCUGACUUGAGUACUACAGGGGAGACUGGAAUUUCUGGUGUAGCGGUGGAAUGCACAGAUAUCAGGAAGAACACCGAUGGCGAAGGCAGGUCUCUGGGUAGUAACUGACGCUGAGGAGCGAAAGCAUGGGUAGCGAACAGG
rnacentral:rRNA from 1 species